CUCGUUCCUUGCUACCUACGACUGGGGGCUCUGACAAGCACAAUUUACAUUGAGUUCGCCCCGCGCUGGUAUUUACUUUGAAACCUGAUUAGUAUGGGCCGUCUAUUGUCACAAAAAGAGAAGGAAACCCUGGAUAGAAUAGCCGAAAUAAGGGUAAAAGCGGGGACAAAGCUUUGCGCAGAUACUGUGUUCCUGAUGAAGAUUUCAAACGGAGCAGCUGGUGACUUUGGUAGAUUGAGGAUAAGAUUGGGAAGCUGUGGAGUAAGCUGGACGCAGAGAGAGAGAGAGAGAGUGGGGUGACAGUGAAUGAGAGCAGCGGGAAGAAGGCUGUAGCACGAAAACAGGCGAGAAAAAGAGAAAGUGGACAGCAGGGUAAAAAAAAGACGCACCCAGCGACGACUAUUAGGCUAUAGUGGACGGGAAACAUCGGUACCUGAAUUCGGCUAACACCAGCCAGGCAAGUACAACAUGUAUUUAUCUUCCACCUAUUCUAUUCACAAGUAGCUCUAAAUGAAUGAAGAAUACGUUCUAGCCUCGCCACACUACAUUGCAACCCAUGUAGGCAACCGUUAUCUAGCUUAUCUGUCUAAAUGUCAAACAACCACUGUUAGGCUACAUUCCAGUGCGAAACUUUUGAACCGUACUUUGGAUAUUUUCCUUGACAUUCUUACUGAUUUGGGGACCCGUUUCUUCGUUUUAAACUGUCGUCAGCAAUAUAUACCAACAUCGUUGAUGCUGUUACCGUAAUUCAGGGAAUCCUUUCCAAGUUGUGAGCAUCUCACCUGUGCAAGGCUAUUUGUUGUUUGAUCACAUAAUGAAAGGAUCGAUAGCAGCCUGUUUCUCAUCGAUAGUUUCAACGGAUUAAAUGACAUUAUACGAUCGAGC